GUUGGGGACCAAAGCGGAGGAGGAGGAGGCCUCCCCCCUCAACCGGCCUCCCCACCUUAUCUCCCUAUGAAUGAAGGAGGAGGGGUGGCCGGCCUGCUCGGGGAGAGGAGGGGGCGCCUCAAGGCUUCUCCAGAGGGACUACUUGACGUGUCGGUGCAGCGAAUUUAUUUCCCUUUGCCUAAGGAACGGGCUGUGGUGCGGCACCCAUUGCCUAGGGAAAAAACCCGGAUGUAAAAAAGGAAGAAGAUGAGUCUCUGGAUGGUUCCCUGGAAGAAGACAAGUGAAAUCCCAGACAACAAUAUUUUCACCCAAAACCCAAGAUGAGGAGGGAAAUGGCUGCCCUGAUCUUUGAGAAGACCCUGAGAGAGGCUCUUUCUCCCCUGAAAGAGACACAGAUGGUAACAGCUGAACAGAUCCAAGAAAGGAGACAAACUUUGCUAAGCACCCUGGUUGCAACUCCAGCACAUUCCUUUCUUUUCACUCUCUUGAUAAGCCCAGAAAUGGGGGAGGGAAAUGGAGUUGGGGGGGGGGGGAGAAAGUGAAGCAGUUAGUAGGAGUGUUAGAGGGAAAUAGUCUCUGGAGGGGAGAGAUUUAGGAGUAAACCUGAUACUAGGUAAAAAUAGGGAUGUUGUAAAUACGUAUUGUAAAUUACCUAUUGUAAAAAGUUUCAUUGUAUAUAAUAAAAAAGCAUAAAAGUC